rnacentral:lncRNA from 1 species
CCUCCCCCCAACUCGGAAGGCGUCCUGUGACCCCCGGGACCUCAAGAGCUGUAACCGCCCCUGUGUGUGGUCGAGGCUUUUGAAACCAAACUCUAGCCUCUCCAACCUAGAAACUGCAUACUUUCCACAAAUUUUGAGAUUUUUGAGACCCUGGUACUUUUCACGAAGUCACCUUAAUUAUCACCAAAAAGCUCCUGCAAGAUGGGAGUGGUUAUACUCCAUUUACAGGAAAGGAACCAAGGCUCAGAGAAGAAAUGUGCUCCGUUCACCGUGUGCUCCUCCUCAGCCAUCCUGGCCGUGCUCAGUCAUCUGACCAGCUGACCUCCGUGUUCCCCCACUCCCUGGGGAGCUCCUCCGCCUUUUGGCUUCCAAUGCUAUUGCUGCAUGCUGAAGACUCCCGCAUUGGGAGCUGUCUCUGCAUAUGGCAAAGCACAAAGCUGAAUGAGGUCUGGACAAAGAAGCUCCACUCGCAAUCUAGAGAGUAUCUGGACUAUUGCAGUGAUUAAAUGAGGGGAAGUAUUGAAAGUCAUUGAAAGUCAUCCCCACCCACUAGAGGAGAGAAACGCAAGCCCAGAAAAGGCAAGAGGUACACAGGCAUCCACGGGACAGUGGUGAUGGGGCUGAGCACUGCCUUCCAGAGCUGCUGCUGGGCAUUGAGCGGGCAGCACCCUCUCAAUGCCAUGUGGACCCUCCUCAAUGUGAUUGAAUGACCGUGUUUCUUGCAGCAAGCUCCUUGUAAGAAUCGCUUUAGGUCUCUCUGAUGAAGUAAAGAUUGAUUUCUGCAGA